GGCACCUGUAGUCCCAGCUACUCAGGAGGCUGAAGCAGGAGAAUUGGUUGAACCCGGGAGGUGGAGGUUGCAGUGAGCCGAGAUCGCACCACUGCAUUCCAGCCUGGCGACAGAGCGAGACUCCUCAAGGUGCAUCCAAAAAAAGAAAGACCAGAGGACCCAGCAAUGCUACCUCUGGAUGCACACACACAAGGAAGGACAGGACGGACUCAAACAGAAGCUUGCACACGCAGGUGCACAGCAGCACGACUGCCAACAGCCACAAGGUGGAAACCACCCAGACGUCCAUUGAUGAGAGAUGGAUCAACACAGCGUGGCCCAUCCACACAGUGGAAUAUUACUGAGCCACAAAAAGGAAGAGAAUCCGGACACGGGCUUCAGCAUGGAUGCACCUUGAGGACAUCACGCUCAGUGAGAGACGCCGGAGACACAGAAGGACACACCCCGCAUGGUUCCACUCCUAGGAGGUCCAUAGAGCCUGAGAUUCACGGCGACAGAAGGAAAAAAUAACUGAAGGAAGGCUGCAGAGGUCCCACAUCCGCAGCUUACAGAAACGGAGGCCUGGAGGGCAUGGCUUCCCCACUGGCGCCCUGGAAGGUGAGGGGCAGGCUGGCCUGGGACCUGGGCUCCUCCCCGUCUCACUCCCUUGUCCCCAGCCCCCAAACAAGGUGGCGUUUCCCAAGCGGGUUGCUCUGGCCUGGUGCUAGUGAAAUGAACUUGUAGUGAAGGGUCAAACAAGAUGACAGGGAAGGGGCCCCGGGACACCGUGCGGAGGCACCCAGGCGGCCCCACUGAGGUCAGGCAAUGCCCUAGGCAACUCCAGGGCUCCUGGGGGCCAGGCCUCUGCACACUCCCCCCCAGCCCCCUUCGAAGGCCAACAGGAAAUAAACCAGAAGGGGGCCGCCAGCAUUUAGGAACAAAAUUUAUUCCAAUUUAAAACAGAGUUCAUUUCAGGAGAAAGAUAUGAAAAGUCGACUUCCAUCGGUGUCUGGGUUAAGGGUCAGGGCCAGUGGCUGUGGGAGGUGACACUGAGCCGCUCCUCAGCCCCUCCUCCCAUCCCCGACGCGCACAACACAUGCAUUUCAAAUGGUAAAAGGCUUAAAAACAGCUUGUAUAGAAUAUUCUUUUUUAAAUAGAUUAAGGUUGAAAUUGUCUGAAAUCAGGACUGUGUAAUAUACAAGUAUCACCGGGUCCCGUCCACCAGGCCAGCCACAGGAUCCGCUGCCACCACUGGGGGACACUGGCAUGGGGAUGCCCCCCUGGGGGAGCCGGGGGACCCAGGGCAUGGGUUCGCAGUGGCCGGGCGGGGGCUGCUGCCGCCUGGGCAUAACAUGGUCGGAGAAGGUGGUCGGCACUCACAAGAAAGCGUUGGCAGGUGAGAUUCACCAAGGUAAAAACACACCCCACAUGUGGCCCCAUAAGUGGCAAGGGUGGGGGUUGGCUGUCCCUGCCCCUGGGUGCCACUGGCACAAGAACCACUGCCUGGGACUCUCCUGGGGCAGGCACCCCUGACCCGGGCCUGCAACACCUACCUCCACUUUUUUGGGGGGCAGGAGAUCAGGCACUCAGACCCAGAGGAUCCAGGCCAAGACGUUUUGGUGGCCCCAGCCCAGCUCUGGGAUGCUUGGCACGGCCCCCUCCCUGGGAAGGCCUAAUACUUAGCCCCGCAGCGCCCCGGCCUCUGUGCUGGGCGACUCCACCCUCAGGCCACAGCCAGGUCACCUUGUGCAAUCUGGGCCCUCAGAGAUGCCACAAGCACAGGCCCCCCAGAGGGCUCCGCUGCUGGAAAAGGUUGCAGCGGCCCUGCCAGGGGUGGCCCCAUCUGCUCCCCCAGGGCACCGCCGGGCCCCAGCACUCGCCGUGGGGGGCUUCUGGCGCCAACCCUCUUAGGUAGACACCUGCACAAAAAAAAGAUGCUUCUGGGUGAGACAGAAGUGGUGUGGGGAAGUCGGUGGGGGUCCCGCCAGCCCCGUCUCCCCAUGGGGCUGAUCACCAGAAAUGUAGCUGCCCUGACCUGGUCUCCCCUGACCCCUCCACGGGGCUCCCCGCUCUUCUGCCCCUGGAAGCCAGCAGACAGCCCUGCAGACGAGGAGGCCAGGGCAGGCCUGACAGUGGCGGGCAGGCAGGCGGCAACUGCUGGUCGGGGUGGUCAUAUUUUGG